GCAGACACAUUCCAGCCAAUAAGCAGCAGACCCUCCCUCCCAGACCCUCCCACCUCCUGGACAGCAUCCAUUUUACAUUCAUUGUGAAGCUGCAUUCUUAGUGAGCUGUCCAGGAGGUGGGAGGGUCUGGGAGGGAGGGUCUGCUGCUGAUUGGCUGGAAUGUAUCUG